rnacentral:tRNA from 1 species
GGAGAGAUGGCCGAGUGGCUGAAGGCGCACGCUUGGAAAGCGUGUAUACGAGAAACCGUAUCGUGGGUUCGAAUCCCACUCUCUCCGCCA